GUCAGGAUGGCCGAGCGGUCUUAGGCGCUGCGUUCAGGUCGCAGUCUCCCCUGGAGCUGUGGGUUCGAAUCCCACUUCUGACA
rfam:Danio rerio chromosome 4, GRCz11 reference primary assembly.